CCUACGGGAGGCUGCAGUGGGGAAUAUUGCACAAUGGGGGAAACCCUGAUGCAGCGACGCCGCGUGAGUGAAGAAGUAAUUCGUUACGUAAAGCUCUAUCAGCAGGGAAGAAAAUGACGGUACCUGAGUAAGAAGCACCGGCUAACUACGUGCCAGCAGCCGCGGUAAUACGUAGGGGGCAAGCGUUAUCCGGAUUUACUGGGUGUAAAGGGAGGGUAGACGGUUCGCCAAGUCUGGAGUGAAAUGCCGCAGCCUAACUGUGGAACUGCUGUGGAAACUGGCGAACUAGAGUGCGGGAGGGGUAAGCGGAAUGCCUGGUGUAGCGGUGAAAUGCGUAGAUAUUAGGAGGAACUCCGGUGGCGAAGGCGGCUUACUGGACCGUAACUGACGUUGAGGCUCGAAAGCGUGGGGAGCGAACAGGAUUAGAUACCCCUGUAGUC
rnacentral:rRNA from 1 species